GACGAACGCUGGCGGCGUGCUUAACACAUGCAAGUCGAACGGAAAGGCCUGCUUUCCCUGUGGAUUGCGGGUACUCCGGUGGCGUACGGGUUAGGAACACGCCAGUUAUUUGCCCCCAACUUGGGUAUAAGCCCGGGAAACUGGCUCCAAUUCCCGUGAGGACCGUCGGGGUGCGCCCGUGGUGGAAAACGAUUUUUUAGUUGUUGGGGAUGAGCUCGCGGCCUUUCAGCCUGGUGGUGGGGUAAUGGACUACCAACGCGUCGACGGGUAGGCCGCGUGAGAGGGUGGACGGCGGAAUUGAGACUGCGAUACGGCCCAGACGCGAGCGAGAAGCAGCGGUCGGGAAUAUAGGACAAUGGGCGGAAGCCUGAUGCAGCGAGGCAGCGUGGGGGAUGACGGCAUUGGAGUUGUAAACUCCUUUCGACCGAGAGGAAGCCACCUGGUUGGAAGGGUGGUGACGGUAGUGGUAGAAGAAGCACCGGCUAACUACGUG
rnacentral:rRNA from 1 species